rnacentral:lncRNA from 1 species
GACGAUGCUAUCAUGGCGAAUAAGUUUUGAAUCGCUUAUUGUUUGAGUUAAAACGAGCCUGAAAUUAGCAUAUGCAAAAUGCCAGUGCAAUUUAAGGUACAAGGAAGAAUUGUUUACAAUAUUUAAAAUUGGAUGCAAUUUGUAUUUUACAAUAAUGAAGCUGAAAUUGAGAGAUUAUCUCGAAUAUGCUGAAAUGUCACGGUAGUUGAAAUAAGAAAACAAUAACAAUCACUGUUUGGAAACUAUUUAAAUUAUACUAAGUAAAUGAACAUAAGUUUUAUCGAUAAAUCUUUAGUUAUCACAGUUUCUCAAAUUUUUAAUGCCUCUGCAAAGAUCAUAGGUUACCGGUUAAAUCUGAAAAGUAUGAGAAAUAAAUAAAAAAACAUGUCCAGACAAAUUCAUUUCUAGCGGUAACAUGACUUGAUUUUAAGUUCAGUAAUAAGAUUAAAUUUCAAAGAUGCGGAUGAAAAAGUUUGUGAGUAUAUUUUUUAAAUCAAUUUCUAAAUUAUCAAACAUUGUUUUUCUUUAUAAUGCAACUUUGUGUGAUAUUCAAAAGAUUACUCCAGCUUCCCCAAUUUAUCAUGUGUGAAAUGAACAGAUGAACAUUCACAAAAUAUUAAUAUCCAGAAUAAACACAACGAGAAAUGACAUAAACAUUAAAGUUGUUUAUGUACAUUUUAUUGUUGGUAUUCAAUAAAAAAAACCAUACACAACAUGCACUCAACAGAAAAGUUAUAAAAAGGGAAUUUGAUUAAAAAUGCUGAAUGAUCUAGAUCUUUUUCCAGGGAACAUCAGAAUAUGUCAAGGAGUAUAAGUGGCUUGACUCUUUCAAAAGUAAUAGAUUUGUACCAACACCAGAACAGGAUGCUCCAGUGGCUGGUUUAUCAUCAGCAGAGCUAGGUUUUGAAAGUGU